rnacentral:rRNA from 1 species
CCUACGGGGGGCAGCAGUGGGGAAUAUUGGACAAUGGGCGAAAGCCUGAUCCAGCCAUGCCGCGUGUGUGAAGAAGGCCUUCGGGUUGUAAAGCACUUUCAGUGGGGAAGAAAGCCUUGGGGCUAAUACCCUCGAGGAAGGACAUCACCCACAGAAGAAGCACCGGCUGAACUCCGUGCCAGCAGCCGCGGUAAUACGGAGGGUGCGAGCGUUAAUCGGAAUUACUGGGCGUAAAGCGCGCGUAGGCGGUCUGAUAAGCCGGUUGUGAAAGCCCCGGGCUCAACCUGGGAACGGCAUCCGGAACUGUCAGGCUAGAGUGCAGGAGAGGAAGGUAGAAUUCCCGGUGUAGCGGUGAAAUGCGUAGAGAUCGGGAGGAAUACCAGUGGCGAAGGCGGCCUUCUGGACUGACACUGACGCUGAGGUGCGAAAGCGUGGGUAGCAAACAGGAUUAGAUACCCUAGUAGUC